CAUUCAUUCCCUGUCAUUUUUCUCUUUCAGGUUUUCCCCUCUCCUUCCAUGCUCUCCAUUGCUUCUGUUGUUUUACCUGCUAUGGAAAGGCACCCACUGUCUUGUGGUAGUGUAGUAGAAGUCCCAGAAAUGAUUGGUUUAAGUGCCACCAAGACAUUUGCUGGAAUGAUUAAAGUGGGAAGAAUAUACAGAGAAGUUAGAGCCUGGGAAUAAUGGAUGGACUUUAGCCACAACCUAUCUGAUACAAACACACAGUUGCAGGUAGCACUAGAGUCAGUAAGUCAGAUUGAUUAAUGGAUGUGAGCAACUCAGAAUAAGUGGCAUUUCAGAGACAAUAAAUCUUACAGAAC
rnacentral:lncRNA from 1 species